UGCUGGUGGUGAAGCGCCCCCGCUCGGAGAACUGGGCCUUGCCGGGGGUGAGCC
rnacentral:snoRNA from 1 species